GACAGAGGUUGCAAACGUUGUUCGGAAUUACUGGGCAUAAAGCGCACGUAGGCGGUCCGUUAAGUCAUGUGUGAAAUCCCCCGGCUCAACCGGGGAAUUGCGCCUGAUACUGGCGGGCUAGAGAUCGAUAGGGGUGAGUGGAACUCCAGGUGGAGCGGUGAAAUGCGUAGAUAUCUGGAGGAACACCGGUGGCGAAAGCGGCUCACUGGAUCGAAACUGACGCUGAGGCGCGAAAGCUAGGGUAGCAAACGGG
rnacentral:rRNA from 1 species